rnacentral:rRNA from 1 species
UACGUAGGGUGCAAGCGUUGUCCGGAAUUAUUGGGCGUAAAGAGCUCGUAGGCGGUUUGUUGCGUCGGCUGUGAAAACCUGAGGCUCAACCUCAGGCCUGCAGUCGAUACGAGCAGACUAGAGUGUUGCAGGGGAGACUGGAAUUCCUGGUGUAGCGGUGAAAUGCGCAGAUAUCAGGAGGAACACCGGUGGCGAAGGCGGGUCUCUGGGCAACAACUGACGGCUGAGGAGCGAAAGCCAGGGGAGCGAACGGG